GACAAACGCUGGCGGCGUGCUUAACACAUGCAAGUCGAACGGGAUUUAGUAGACAGAAGCCUCGGCUAAAGAUUACUAAUGAGAGUGGCGAACGGGUGAGUAACGCGUGAGCAACCUGCCUAUGACAGUGGGAUAGCCUCGGGAAACCGGGAUUAAUACCGCAUAAAAUCGUAGAAACACAUGUUUCAACGGUCAAAGAUUUAUCGGUCAUAGAUGGGCUCGCGUCUGAUUAGCUAGUUGGUGAGAUAACAGCCCACCAAGGCGACGAUCAGUAGCCGGUCUGAGAGGAUGAACGGCCACAUUGGAACUGAGACACGGUCCAAACUCCUACGGGAGGCAGCAGUGGGGAAUAUUGCACAAUGGGGGAAACCCUGAUGCAGCGACGCCGCGUGAACGAAGAAGGUAUUCGUAUCGUAAAGUUCUGUCCUAUGGGAAGAUAAUGACAGUACCAUAGAAGAAAGCUCCGGCUAAAUACGUG
rnacentral:rRNA from 1 species